rnacentral:rRNA from 1 species
UACGGGGGGGGCAAGCGUUGUUCGGAAUUACUGGGCGUAAAGGGCUCGUAGGUGGUCAACUAAGUCAGACGUGAAAUCCCUCGGCUUAACCGGGGAACUGCGUCUGAUACUGGAUGGCUCUGAGUUUGGGAGAGGGAUGCGGAAUUCCAGGUGUAGCGGUGAAAUGCGUAGAUAUCUGGAGGAACACCGGUGGCGAAGGCGGCAUCCUGGACCAACACUGACGCUGAGGAGCGAAAGCCAGGGGAGCAAACGGG